UCCGACCCAUGGUGGGCUGACUCGGCCUGGCAUCGUCCGGUGAGGAAGCUACCUGGGUCUAGGAGUGUAUGUACCCAUCUUCCCUCCCCCUUUCCUUUCCGUGUGGGCUACUGACAGUCUGAUCAUCUCACUGGAUGCAAUCAGAGUAAGCGGCGCCGUCUCCCAGAGACUAACCGACGCUCUUUGCUGAAGGGAAGUGUAGGAGGGUCGUGGCCAUCCUCGUUAGCUUCUCCUGUGUGAGUAUCCUGUAGGGAAAAAUCCUUAGUUUAUGAGCUGCUAGCGCGGACAGGGCACCCUCCCAGUGUGUGUAAGUGGAAAAUGGGGGAGGGGCAGUCUAAACAUUCCAUCUCACCCCCUAAGAGUACCCCAGCAUAUUACAUGUACGUACAUUAUGGUUCAACAACCUGCAGGUAUUUAGAGAAUUGGAAUAUUUACAUGCUUGAAAAUCCAUCUAAACAAUGCCCACUAGAAGGUACUUCAAUCUAGAUAAGAUCAUACAUCAAAGAGGAGCGUUUAAUCACCAAAAAGCCCUGACACAGCAUGAGCAAAUUUGUCUAUUGAGGAAAGGAGCGGGUUAAUUUAAAAAUCAUCUUGGCCCAAGGAUGGAAGGGGUUGGGGCUGCUCUGCAUUCAGGGUCAGGAAUCGGCGCGGACUGUGCUUGGUGCAGGGAGGGGCUGCUUUCAGCCCCAGCUGGCUGUGAAAAAAUAUAGACAGAGACGAACCAAAGGCAAUACAAGUUACAGAACUGAGAUUACAUUUGCAAAGCUUAACUGUCCAGUAAGUGUGCCUUUGUGACCCUGGAGUCAGUGUGGCUUGGUGAGACCAAAGAAGCCACAGGCAGCCGACCUGGACUGGAAUCUCUGAAAGAGACGCCGCAGGAGAUUCCAGGGUGUAAGAGAACAGCCCUCCCAAGAGCAAAAGCAUGUUGGAAAUUCUGGACAAGCUGUAUACAGGAUAAUCUCCUGUCCACCUCUCCCCCUCCUCUGAACAUUAUACACAGAAGUGGCCAGUCUGGACGUACGUGUAUAAUCAGAAAAAACUGAUGCCAGCUGAACAGCAUUCAACAUACCAUGCAUUUACUGGCACAAUAGAAAUUAUGUUUUGUGUUCUAUGUUCUGUCUUGUGGUGUUUGUCUUGUGGCCGGAAUUUUUGUGUUUAAUAUUUUUAUAAAAUAGUCUAGUUUAAAAUCAAACAAAAAGGUUAAAUUAAAAUGCAGAUACUUGUUUUGUUCAAUUUGGAAUACAAAGUGUUUGGGUAAAUCAGAAGAAUGUAAUAUACUAAAGUCUAAUGCAUUUCCUCAAGGAAAAGAAACUUCAUUGGUCAAACUGUUAAUUGCAAAAAUUGUUAAAAUUUGCAUACCAACAGUCUUUGAAAGCAAGGACAUGAAAAGUUAACCCACUCCCCAUAUUGUAUAUGGGAUCUUUCUGGCUACCUCAAAUUUCUAGCCAGAGGGCUGGGGAUGGUGGAAAGCUAUUGGAUUAGAGAUUAAAUUUAAUGAACUCCUCAAAGUGAGUGUGCUUGUCCUAGUUUGUUGCUCCAAAGCUCUGUAAUAAGGUUAUUUUAGUAAAAGGGUGUGUGUGUGGCAUAUAUUAAAUAAUAAGACUAAUGUACUGUAUAAUGACAAUGUUUAUGUCUUCAUUGUUGGGAAAAAGGUGUAUAAGUAAAAUGUGGAAGUUUCCUUUGCAGGUUAAAAGAAGACAAGAAAGGAAGAAGAACAAAGCACAGAAUGAGUAAACGGGAAAAAAAAAAGAAUUAGUUAACAAGCUCAGGCUGUAGAUAAGACACUGACUCCAUUCAAGGACACUGCUCACAGUUAAGACUUGGCUAACAACUAGGAAAAGAAGGGCUUGAAUUUGCCCACACAGCUAUGAGAUCUGAAAAACACUGCCAGGCACUAAUGAAAUGUGUAAGUUUCUUUUCUCACAGAUAAAGAAGCGCUACCCAAAGACCCUAGCAGCCCUGCCACUCCUUGGAACCAGGAGACGGGAUUGAUGUAAAGGUCCACCGAUGAAAGACUGCCUUGGCUGCAUGCUGGAAAGGCCCUUAAGUCCCGGUGACUACCAACACUGCUGUGAAGUGCCAAAGACUGACUGCUUGGACCCAAGAUUCUCACUGCAAAAAGACCCCUCCACAUCGGGAGAAUUCUCCUACUGAUGAUUAGCCUAUUCCACCUUCUAGCUCCACUGUGCCUUUUGGACAGCAGGGAAAAAGUACAAGGUGACGUGCUAGUAACCUCUCCCUUAUCCACUGACAGAUCUACUGUGCCUUUGAAUUUUUCUAGAAGAAUCAAAACCAUUACAGGGUUAUGUGCUAGUAACCUCUGCCCUGUAGGAUGCUGCAUCACGACUGUUUUGGGAAAGAAGAAGGAACACUCGCUCCACUGAAAUUGCCAAAGUCCAGGAAUUCCUGACUAGAAAGGACAUUAAGAACUGACCCUGGUGAAGAAACAAAGAAUUAUACACUGGUGGGAGGACAUUUGUGGGACCCAUGUUUGGGAAUGUGGUAUUGAAUGGAUUUUGGGGUUUAUUCUACAGGCUGCGCCCUGUGUUUUGGAUAAAUCCCUCAGCAUAUAUAGCUCUCUCUAAUUGGAUUUUAAAUAACAAGUACCCAAAAGUUUGUUCUGCUACUAAAAAUUUUACCCAUAUUGAAACCA